UACGUAGGGUGCGAGCGUUAAUCGGAUUUACUGGGCGUAAAGAGCUCGUAGGCGGUAGUUCAAGUCAGGUGUGAAAUCCGACGGCUUAACCGGAGGGCUGCACCUGAUACUGGACUGCUAGAGGUAAGGAGAGGAAGGUGGAAUUCCCGGUGUAGCGGUGAAAUGCGUAGAGAUCAGGAGGAACACCGAUGGCGAAGGCAGCCCCCUGGGCCUGUACUGACGCUCAUGCACGAAAGCGUGGGGAGCAAACAGG
rnacentral:rRNA from 1 species